rnacentral:rRNA from 1 species
GACGAACCGUGCGAACGUUAUUCGGAAUCAUUGGGCUUAAAGCGCGUGUAGGCGGAUUCGUGCGUCUGUCGUUGAAAUCCCCCGGCUCAACCGGGGAAGUGGCGCGGAUACGACGAGUCUGGAGGGGCAUAGGGGGACCUGGAACUUCCGGUGGAGCGGUGAAAUGCGUUGAGAUCGGAAGGAACGCCCGUGGCGAAAGCGAGGUCCUGGAUGCCUACUGACGCUGAGACGCGAAAGCCAGGGGAGCGAACGGGG